rnacentral:rRNA from 2 species
ACUUAAAUUGAAGAGUUUGAUCAUGGCUCAGAUUGAACGCUGGCGGCAGGCCUAACACAUGCAAGUCGAGCGGUAGCACAGAGAGCUUGCUCUCGGGUGACGAGCGGCGGACGGGUGAGUAAUGUCUGGGAAACUGCCUGAUGGAGGGGGAUAACUACUGGAAACGGUAGCUAAUACCGCAUAACGUCGCAAGACCAAAGUGGGGGACCUUCGGGC